rnacentral:tRNA from 1 species
UCCGCCUUGGUGUAACGGCAGCACGUCAGCCUUUGGUGCUGCACGGUCCAGGUUCGAAUCCUGGAGGCGGAA